GGAGAAAAUAUUUUGCAUUCCAAGGACAAGUCUGCUGUUCCUGCAAACUCAUCGAUGCACAGGACAAAAAGACGAGCAAGUUAUUCGUUCAGGUUCAGAUAACCAAACAGACUUGCAUCCUGAAUUACAAGAUUUUUUUUCAAAAAAGACAUGUGUAUAAGAAAGAAAACAUCGAUCCAAAAGCACAUGUAUGAGCACAGAUAACUAGACUUCCCAUUUCUCACUUAUGCAGAUUAAAAGAGGGUAACUAGAACAAAUUCCAUUGUGUACACUAGUUUCAGAACAAUCUACUGCCUGGUUAGUUGGUGCAUAACACUACAUUCAGAUGAUCCCCAAGCCAUUCUCUACGUAAUCACUCAACUCUCUGAAAACAGAUCGCAUCCAUUACUAACUAAAAGCCAUCAAAAUCAUGCUGACAACAAAAGUGGCACCCUACAAUUUCUCCACAUUAGUACUCCUGCAGAAGAAAAAAACGCAUACAUUCAGUUACCUAUCUCUGACCAUCUACAAACAUUCCUUGGGCUUCUAAAAUAUCUUACAGGGUAACACACUAUAUGUGAAAAAUUCAAUCAGACUGAAAAUGAGGUCUACAUCCAGAACAAAAGAGUACUACAUUAAGACAAAGUUGAGGCCUACUUAGUGAACGAAAAUUGGGGGACACACACAUACAGGUGCCUGCAGCAAAUUCAGGGGCGUUCUAUGAUGAACCACUCAAAAAACUCCUCCAGGAUUGAAGAGAUUCAUGGGCAUUUCUGUUCUACCGCACACCUUCCUGGCCGAAACUACAAACAACUAAACCACCCCCUGCUAUGGAGGUCUGUGACCGGUGACAAACACGACGAACUGAAAUUCAGAGGGCAUAGACAUAUAGAACAGAAAAAGGGCAGCGGGAAGGAGCGUGAUACCUUGCGCCCCGAUGGCGCCGACGACUGCCGUCGCACCCACCGACUGAAGCUUGCUGGUGGCGGACAUGGCGGCGCAGCUCCGCCGAGCUCCUCUCCAAACCGACAUCUGACCUGCGUGCAGCCGGCACUGUGGAGCAUGCCUCCUGCUUACAAGCUCUCCUCGAGGAGGACUCGGCGCACGCCAUCUCUGUUGCUAAACACCGGCGAGGACGCCCCCGCCUCCCCUCCGCCGUCUCCG
rnacentral:lncRNA from 1 species